GGGUCAUAUAGGGCCGCUCCAAAGGCUCAACAAGUUUGCGGUCUCUCUUAGGUCACGUUGGUACCACGUGACACGCGGCCGGAGAAGUUACAGGGAGCGGCCUAUAUAACCGGUCCGCGGACAUCGAUCCCAAGAAGCGAAGCCAAGCGACGGUGAGGUUUCGCCGCGAGCGGUACGUGCCGGCCUCUUCUCCUCGACGACGCGACGCCAAGGAGGACAAGGAGCGGAGGAUCCUCUUCGUCGUCAGCCUCGAUUGCGACCGCCAGGUGCUCACAACUGGUUCGCACAUGGCGGCGGACCGAAAGCAGUGUUCCGGAGAUGGUCCGAAAACUCUUUCAGAGCAAGACAUGACCAUAGUCUGCAGUGCUACGGGUUUCAGAAAGGCGCUUCCGAGAAGUCACCGACUCGUGCUCGACGUGGUACAUUUGCAGAGUUAUGCUGUCUAUACUACCCUCUACGUAAGCCAUAAUUGUAAGUUUUCAUAGACUACAUAAACCCUUGUUUAGAAUUAACUACAUUAAUUUACCACAACAGGACUCCCUAUUUUGGAUUAUUUACAUCCCCACAUACCCAUCAUCAUUUUUUUUUCUAAUAGAAAAAUAUCAGAUACCCUAUCCUCAACCAAAAUUGGCAGCCUUCAUUAUGACCAUAUCAUAUCAAUAUUCAAGAUUACACGUACAUGGCCGUAAAAUUAGGGCAGCAACUUGAACAGACAUUAGAAAGCUAAUGCUAACGUUUAGAAAGACAUAAGUGGACAAAGAACUGUCAGCUUAGGCAAGUUUCCAAGCCCGGACAUAUAGAAACUAGCAAAUGUUUUGCAAGAUGUAGCAUAAUGAGCAUUGACCUAAAGCGAAUUAGCUCACAAAAAAUAGUACAUAAAAAUUAAUCAAAUGGAAAAUUGCUUUGAGGUACUUGAGGUUUAGGGUUGAAACUUCAUACCACGUGUGUUCCUGCCAAGGAUUUCCAGAUCUCACUGCUCUCCUCGUCAUCCUCUUUUGACUUGCUCCUCCUCCCUGAAACAAUCUCGAAGGAGUCAGGCAUCUGCAUGAGGUCGAGCGUCACAUGGCCUCCAGCUCCCUGCAAACGACUCCAACCAUCAGCAUGCGGCGGCAUCGGCUGUGGCGUUGCUUGGUGCUGUAUAUGUGACCAGAAGACGGGCGGCUGCUGCUGCUUUACAGAGACCAUGGUGUGCCAUCCACUUCCAUCAGCGAGCAGCUGCCGGGCCAGCACGGCAGCGCGGUUCUCGGCAAUCAGCUCGUUGAGUGCGGCGCUUGAUCGGGAUGAGAAGUCGGAUGUCGCAAUCCAAGGAGAAGCCUUGGAUGACAGAAGAGAGAGAGCACAACCCGGGGAAGCAGACAGGUAUGGGGCCAUGCCUCCGAUGAUUGCGCUUUCUGCACACAGAUAUCUUUCCAAGUUUAAAAAAUCUUGGCACAGCAGGAUGUUAAGAUUAGGUUAAAAACAUUGCAUGAGAUUCCAGAGAAGAUACUGCACGUUUGCACAUGAUAAAACUCAAAUUUAGCUGGUUCCUCAAAGCUGAGUCACAUAUUCUUAGACUACAUACUGCAUGUUAUAAGCAACUUCAUCUGAUCAAACUAUAAUUUGUGUUGCGCAACAUCAAUCACCUCUUUAAAUUGCUUGACAUUUACUGAAGGAGCAUGGAUGUUAAAUCUUUACGGAUUCCAUAAUAUGAAAUUAUGUUUAGAAUAUCAAUAACAA